rnacentral:rRNA from 1 species
GGCGCAGGCGGCUUGGUCAGUCUGAAGUGAAAGCCCGGGGCUCAACCCCGGAAUAGCUUUGGAUACUGCCAAACUUGAGUGCGUGAGAGGAGAGUGGAAUUCCUGGUGUAGCGGUGGAAUGCGUAGAUAUCAGGAGGAACACCAAUGGCGAAAGCAGCUCUCUGGCACGUUACUGACGCUGAGGCCCGAAAGCGUGGGGAGCGAACA